rnacentral:lncRNA from 1 species
CUAAGAUAUCUGAUUUCAAUGUUUUACUGAAUUACAAGUGUUUUCACAGUGAAAUUUGCUUGGAUUAUUUCAGCACAUCAAGGGGAAAGACCUACAGGAACAGAAAGUGAAUGAAGGCCCUAAUCUUGGAAGCCCACCUAAUUUUUCUACUUCCUCCAAUGAAGUAAAAAGGGCACACUCAGAGUAUGCAUAGACCAUUCUUAUAAGACUUCAGUUCAACUGAAUUCAGCGGAGAUUUAUUAAAAGUCUACUACAUUUGAGGAACCAG